UACAGAGGUCUCAAGCGUUGUUCGGAUUCAUUGGGCGUAAAGGGUGCGUAGGCGGCGCGGUAAGUCGGGUGUGAAAUCUCGGAGCUUAACUCCGAAACUGCAUUCGAUACUGCCGUGCUUGAGGACUGGAGAGGAGACUGGAAUUUACGGUGUAGCGGUGAAAUGCGCAGAUAUCAGGAGGAACACCAGUGGCGAAGGCGCCGCUCUGGGCCGUGACUGACGCUGAGGAGCGAAAGCGUGGGUAGCAAACAGG
rnacentral:rRNA from 1 species